rnacentral:rRNA from 1 species
UACGUAGGGUGCGAGCGUUAAUCGGAAUUACUGGGCGUAAAGCGUGCGCAGGCGGUUUGUUAAGUCUGAUGUGAAAACCCCGGGCUCAACCUGGGAAUGGCAUUGGAAACUGGCUGGCUAGAGUGUGGAAGAGGGGGGUGGAAUUCCGCGUGUAGCAGUGAAAUGCGUAGAGAUGCGGAGGAACACCGAUGGCGAAGGCAGCCCCCUGGGCUAGCACUGACGCUCAGGCACGAAAGCGUGGGGAGCAAACAGG